rnacentral:rRNA from 2 species
CCAAAUGGGCCAGUGCAAAUCCUACUUGGAUAACUGUGGUAAUUCCAGAGCUAAUACAUGCAACUGAUAUCCCGAAGGCGGUGUUUGUGCUUGCUUGUCUUGCGCUUUCACUGCUCUGACGGAUGCUUUUAUUAGACCAAGCCGCUGAGGACUUGAGGGUUCGCGCUCUCUUGUUUGACUCGUGUGAUGGUGACUCUGGAUAACCAAAAUUUCUGACAAGCGCACGUACUUCUCUUCUGAGCGAGACGGCGCUGCCACUUUCGAGUGUCUGCCUUAUCAGCUAUCAACCGUUCGUUAUGCGCGACCGAUGGCUUUGACGGGUAACGGGGAAUCAGGGUUCGAUUCCGGAGAGGCAGCCUGAGAGACGGCUACCACGUCCAAGGACGGCAGCAGGCACGCAAAUUACCCAAUCCCAGCAAAUGGGGGAGGUAGUGACGAAAUCUAACGAUGCGGGCGCCCUUUCUGGGGCCCCGCAAUCGGAAUGGGCACUUUCUAAACAACCUGUUGAGAACCUACUGAAGG